AUUCUGGCUCAGGAUGAACGCUAGCGGCAGGCUUAACACAUGCAAGUCGAGGGGCAACGCGAGUAGCAAUACUUGGCGGCGACCGGCGCAAGGGUGCGUAACGCGUGAGCAACAUGCCCGUAUCAGGGGGAUAAUCCAGGGAAACUUUGGUCUAAUACCCCAUAGUAAUUUUUGUAAGGCAUCUUAUAAGAUUUUAAAGCUUUUGGUGGAUACGGAUUGGCUCGCGUGACAUUAGCUGGAUGGUAAGGUAACGGCUUACCAUGGCUAUGAUGUCUAGGGGUUCUGAGAGGAAGGUCCCCCACACUGGAACUGAGACACGGUCCAGACUCCUACGGGAGGCAGCAGUGAGGAAUAUUGGACAAUGGAUGGAAAAUCUGAUCCAGCCAUGCCGCGUGAAGGAAGAAGGUCCUAUGGAUUGUAAACUUCUUUUGUAUGGGAGCAAUAAGGCCUACGUGUAGGUUGAUGAGAGUACCAUACGAAUAAGCACCGGCUAACUCCGUGCCAGCCGCCGC
rnacentral:rRNA from 1 species